UGAAAGCUUACGUCAGCCUCAGUUAUCAUGAGUUUUACUAGUCUCUAUUGUUGACUUUAUGUAGACGUUUUGUGCACAGUUAUGGAACAAGUUCUGUCUUUUUUGAACAGGUUAGUUGUGGGUGAGUUGUGUGUUUCAGUCCAUCUGCACAUGCAUCCUGGCCGAGCUCCAGCUAGUCUGUCGCCGUAACAACGCUUUGUUUACAAGGGAUUCUGCUGGAGGAGUGAAAUUAAACUCAAACGAUUCUUUCUCAGAUAUUAUCCACCAGGUAUCAUCCUGGAAUAUGAAAAAGGAGGAGCUCUGAAGACUAAAUUCAUUGAUUAGUUGGAUUUGUCUCCAGUGCGCUGCAGUCACACUGUGUGACUGAAGUUUUAUAACUGGGGGCUGUGACAGGACAUGUAAAAUAUGGGACACGGCGUCAGGCGAGGGACUGCACACACUGGAGGGCCACAGGGCCAAUAUUUCCACUGGGUCCUUUGAUAAGACCUGCAGGAUGUGGAGAGCCGAGAUGGGCAAAUGUUUUCACACCUUCCGAGGACACACUGUGGAAAUAGUAGGAGGGACUUUCUGAGAGAUUGGACUUGUCUUUCAGUAUAAAUAGGAUUGCAGUGAGCUUUGAAUCUGAUUUUCUAUGUGAAUGGCAGCUAAUACAGUUUUCGGUGCCGACCAGGUAUGUUUGGCGUUUAACCAACCUUGGUGGCCAUGGGUAGCAUGGACACUACGGACAAGCUAUGGGACGUCCAGACUGGAGAGGAGGUGGCUGCACUGACAGAAAUGGUCUCUCUCUCUCUCUCUCUCUCUCUCUCUCUCUCU